UUUCUCUCUCUCUCUCUCUCCUUUCCUCUCCACCGACAUAUUGCUCCUCUUCUCUCCUCACCGUCAAAUUCCUCCCUCACCGUCGGACUGCUCUCCUUGCUGUCAACGUUCUUCUCUGCUCUGAAACUCACCGUUUCUGCUCAUCUCUUUGCCACUACAUCCUUCUUCCUCCUCCAUGUCCGAUCUGCAAUGUCGUCUUCUCCCUGUUUCUAUCGUUGGCUUGUUGCUGACUGCAGCUGCUGUGCGUGAGGCAUAGGUGGGGAGGGGGGGGGGAAUCCCAGCAAGCAUAAAUUGAAGAUUAGGAAGCUCAUUAAGAACCCACUGACAGAGACAGAGCUCUGAUCAUCCUCUCACCCUCCGUCAAUUCCUUGGCCUUUCUCCAUCAUCACAGCGUCGCCAGCGAGGGCCUCAACUCUGCCGUGAGUUCGCUGUCGUUACUUUUUUUCUGCUUCUUUGAUGUUGUUUAGCUCAAGCCUUCUACCGUCGUUCUCCUCGCCUCUGUCCUGUCAUCCCUGUAAGUUGCGCCGUUGCUGUAUGGUGAGCUAGGUUGCCAGAGCUAUAGGAUUCUGCUUGCUGAGACUUUCCCUCCCCUCUUCAGUCGCGAGCUUCAUCUUCUUCAUCCCUAUGCCGUGCUCGCCGUAAAGUGCCGAUGUUGAGUUAGUCGAUGAUCUACCACUUGUUGAUCUUUGAGGGGCUCAUUGUUGAAUUGAUGAGAAGACCUUUUGAGGAUACUUUCAUUUUGAUGUAAAUAUUUAAUUAUGUGUUAUGCUUUAAAAUUAUGAUUAGAUGCUCUAUGUUAACUAUAAAUAGGAUUUUGAUAUGUUAUUUAUUUGUCUAUCUGUUGUGAAGGAGCAAAGCUUUGCAUUUCUAAUUUGGAUUGUACAUUGAUGUUGUAAACACUUUGGAAAGUUUUAUUUACGGUGAAGGUUUUGUCAAAAUUUUUAUAAAAAAUUUAAGAAUACUUUAUUUAUAUAAAAAUAUUAUAAUGACUUUUCAUCUUAUUUUAAAUGAAUUAAAGUAUUAGAGUAAAGUUUUCUUAAUUAUGACUUAAUGAAUGUAUGCUUGUAUGUUUGUGCCAUGUCAAUCAUGUUUAAUUUUUAGAAUGUGACAAUAACCGAUGCUAAAAAAAUUUGACAACACUAAUUGGAACGUACAUUGAAUCAGAGCCCAAUAAAAAGAAACUGACCUUAAUCAUCGCAUUAUCUAGUUUUCCUUUUAUUACUUCCUCCCCUGUUGCCGCCACACCAUUUAGAAUAGCUCCUCUUUUUUUUUAUAGUGUGUGUGUGUGUGUGUGUUAAAGAACAUUUGUAGAAGGAACGGAGUUGUUGCUGGUUUAAUUCACUUGAAUUCUACUGAUCCUUAAGCCCAUCACACCAAAGCUCCUGAUUCCUUUAACUCCUACCAAUCCAUAGGCAUAAAAUAUAACCAAGCAAAUUUGAAAUAUCUAACACCCAUUUUUCUGAAAGUAAACUCUAUUCUUCUUCUUUAGGAUCACUUGGGCUUUUUGUUUUUUAAAUAAUAUUGUUGAAAUAUUGUGGGAAGAAGAUGGUGAUAUUUUUAAA